rnacentral:rRNA from 1 species
GACGGAGGAUGCAAGCGUUGUCCGGAAUUAUUGGGCGUAAAGAGCGCGCAGGCGGUAUGACAAGUCAGAUGUGAAGGAGGCCGGCUUAACCGGCAAGGGUCAUUUGAAACUGUCAGACUAGAGUGCAGCAGAGGAUAGUGGAAUUCCCGGUGUAGUGGUGAAAUGCGUAGAUAUCGAGGAGGAACACCGGUGGCGAAGGCGGGUCUCUGGGCCGAUACUGACGCUGGAGGAGCGGAAAGCCAUGGGUAGCGAACAGG